rnacentral:rRNA from 1 species
AGAGUUUGAUCCUGGCUCAGGACGAACGCUGGCGGCGUGCCUAACACAUGCAAGUCAACUUGAAGUUACCGCUUGCGGUAAUGGACGGUGGCGAACGGGUGAGUAACGCGUAGACAACCUACCAUUUAAAGAGGGAUAAUUCACUGAAAAGAGGACUAAUACCUCAUGUGCUCUUAAGUCGGCAUCGAUUAAAGAGGAAAGACUACGGUCGUUAAAUGAUGGGUCUGCGUAUCAUUAGUUAGUUGGUAAGGUAACGGCUUACCAAGACAUCGAUGAUUAGCUGGUCUGAGAGGAUGAUCAGCCACACUGGGACUGAGAUGCGGCCCAGACUCCUACGGGAGGCAGCAGUGAGGAAUAUUGCACAAUGGGGGCAACCCUGAUGCAGCAACGCCGCGUGUACGAAGAAUCAGAUUACUGUGUAAAGUACUGUUAGAAGGGACGAAAUAUUUGAUUAGUAGUCAAAUUUGCCGGUACCUUCUAAGAAAGCUCCGGCUAACUCCGUGCCAGCAGCCGCGGUAAUACGGGGGGAGCAAGCGUUGUCCGGAAUCAUUGGGCGUAAAGGGCAUGUAGGUGGUAUAUUAAGUCAGUUUUUAAAUGUCACGGCUUAACCGUGGACUGGAAUUGAAACUGGUAUACUUGAGUAUGAGAGGGGACAGAGGAAUACCUAGUGUAGCGGUGGAAUGCGUAGAUAUUAGGUAGAACACCCGAGGCGAAGGCGUCUGUCUGGCUCAUUACUGACACUGAAAUGCGAAAGCAUGGGUAGCGAACAGGAUUAGAUACCCUGGUAGUCCAUGCCGUAAACGAUGGAUACUAGGUGUCGGGGGACUAGCCCCCUCGGUGCCGUAGCAAACGCGUUAAGUAUCCCGCCUGGGGAGUACGAUCGCAAGGUUGAAACUCAAAGGAAUUGACGGGGGCCCGCACAAGCGGUGGAGCAUGUGGUUUAAUUCGAUGCAACGCGAAGAACCUUACCUGGGCUUGAACCGCAUAAUGAUCUACUAUAGAGAUAUGGUAUUCUGAGCAAUCAGCAAUAUGCAGAGGUGCUGCAUGGCUGUCGUCAGCUCGUGUCGUGAGAUGUUGGGUUAAGUCCCGCAACGAGCGCAACCCUUAUCAUUAGUUGCCAGCGCGUGAAGGCGGGGACUCUAAUGAGACUGCCCGGGUUAACCGGGAGGAAGGUGGGGAUGACGUCAAGUCCUCAUGGCCCUUAUGUCCAGGGCUACACACGUGCUACAAUGGGCGGUACAGAGCGCAGCUACACAGUGAUGUGGUGCGAAUCGCAAAAACCGUUCUCAGUUCGGAUCUCAGUCUGCAACUCGACUGAGUGAAGUUGGAAUCGCUAGUAAUCGCGGAACAGCAUGCCGCGGUGAAUACGUUCCCGGGCCUUGUACACACCGCCCGUCACACCAUGGAAGUUGAUAGUGCUCGAAGUAACUGGUCUAACCAGCAAUGGAGGAAAGUUACUAAGGCAAGAUUGAUAACUGGGGUGAAGUCGUAACAAGGUAGCCGUA